rnacentral:lncRNA from 1 species
UAUAUUUAUUAAAAGUAUUAUUAGUUUAUGUUUUUGGACAAUGUAUAAAGAUAAUUUUGUGGUAACAACUGAAAGAGUUGGGGAGAGCUAGUAAAGGAGCAGAGUUUUUGUUAUUGAAGUUAAGCUAGUAUAAAUUCAAAUUAGGGUGUUAUAACUUUAGGAUGUUAAAUGUAAUCCCCCCAGUAACCAUAAGAAAAUACCUAAAGAAUAUACACAAAAGGAAACGAGAAAGGAAUUUAAAUGUUUUGCCACAAAAAAAAAUAAAAUCAAUUAAACACAAAAGAAGAUAGUAAUGCAAGAAAUAAGGGACAAAAAAGCAGUAAGACACAUGGAAAAUAAAUAGCAACGUGACAGAAUUAAGUUGUAUCUUAUAAGUAAUUACUUUAAAUGUAAAUGGAUUAAACUUUCCAAAAGACAAAUACUGGCAGAGUGAAUUUAAAAAACAUGAUUUGGCCGGGCGAGGUGGCUCACGCCUGUAAUCCCAGCACUUUGGGAGACUAAGGCGGGUGGAUCACGAGGUCAGGAGAUUGAGACCAUCCUGGCUAACACGGUGAAACCCCAUCUCUACUAAAAAAUACAAAAAAGUUAGCUGGGCAUGGGGGCGGGCACCUGUAGCCCCAGCUACUCUGGAGGCUGAGGCAGGAGAAUCGCUUGAACCUGGGAGGCGGAGCUUGCAGUGAGCCGUGAUCGUGCCACUGCACUCCAGCCUGGGCAACAGAGUGAGACUCAGUCUCAAAAAUAAAUAAAUAAAUAAAUAAAUAAAUAAUAAAAAACAUGAUUCAACUAUAUGCUAUCUACAGAAGAGUCACUUUAGAUCCGGAGUUGAAAGUGAAAGGGUGGAAAAAGAUAGUAUUCCAUGCAACAGUAACCAAAAGAGAGUUAUACUAAUAUGAGACAAAAUAGACAGUAAAUUUGAAAAGAUUAUAAGAGAAAAGAAGAUUAUUACAUAUUAAUAAAAGGUGCUGGAGUGCAGUGGUGCCUGCCAUCUUGCCUCACUGCAACCUCUGCCCCCUGGGCUCAGGUGAUUCUCCUACCUUAGGCUCUCGAGUAGCUGGGACUACAGGCACAUGCCACCACGCCUGGUUAAUUU